AUGACACCUAACUAUCGGGACAGGCUUGUGAGACACUGUCGCUGCCACCAUAGAGAAGGGGACACUGAGGGCUGGCGAGGCCGCGUGGCCGUGCUAGAAGGGGAAGCUGAGGCCUGGCGAGGCCGCGUGGCCGUUACAGAAGGGGACACUGAGGAUUGGGAAGGCCAAGAGGUCGUUAAAGAUGGGCAAACUGAGGCUUGGCGAGGUCACGUGGCCAUUAUAGAUGGGGAAACCGAGACUUGGCGAGGUCAAGUGAUCGUCACCAAAGUGGAAACUGACGAUUGGGAAGGUCAAGAGGAAACUGAGGAUUGUCAAGUGAUCGUCACCGAAGAGGAAACUGACGAUUGGGAAGGUCAAGAGGAAACUGAGGAUUGGGAAGGUCACGUGGCCGUUACAGGGGGGGAAACUGAGGCUUGGGAAGGUCACGUGGCCGUUACAGAAGGGGAAACUGAGGCGUGGAGCGGUCAAGUGGCUGUUACAGAAGGGGAAACUGAGGCUUGGCAAGGUCAAGUGGCCGUUACAGAAGGGGAAACUGAGGCUUGGCGAGGUCAAGUGGCCGUUACAGAAGGGGAAACUGAGGCUUGGGAAGGUCACGUGGCCGUUACAGAAGGGGAAACUGAGGCGUGGAGCGGUCAAGUAGCCGUUACAGAAGGAGAAACUGAGGCUUGGAGAGGUCAAGUGGCCGUUACAGAAGGGGAAACUGAGGCUUGGCGAGGUCACGUGGCCGUUACAGAAGGGGAAACUGAGGCGUGGAGUGGUCAAGUAGCCGUUACAGAAGGGGAAACUGAGGCUUGGCAAGGUCACGUGGCCGUUACAGAAGGGGAAACUGAGGCGUGGAGCCGUCAAGUGGCCGUUACAGAAGGGGAAACUGAGGCGUGGAGCGGUCAAGUAGCCGUUACAGAAGGGGAAACUGAGGCUUGGCGAGGUCACGUAGCCACUUCAGAAGCAGAAACAGAGGCUUGGCAAGGUCACGUGUCCAUCACAGAAGGGGAAACUGAGGCUUGGCGAGGUAAAGUACCUACUUCAGAAGCAGAAACAAAGGCUUGGCGAGGUAAAGUAGCCACUUCAGAAGCAGAAACAGAGGCUUGGCAAGGUCACGUGUCUGUUAUAGAAGGGGAAACAGGCUUGUCGAGGUCAAGUAGCCAUUACAGAAGGGGAAACUGAGGCUGGAUAAGAUUGAAAUUCAUCUAAUUUAAGUGUCUGAGGUAGGAUUGGGUCCAGAACUUCCUGAUUAAGUCAUGAUGCCUCUUCAGAAAAGAAAGCGCACCCUGAUGUAGGCUCUCUGGGUACCCAGUGCCCCUCAUGGCAGAAGCGUCAUCAGCUAGAGCAGAGGGGCCUCUCUGCCACCUCCACCCAGAUGCUUGGGAGAAAGGGGCUCUUAGUCUUAGGACUGACAGAGUCACUGCUGACUGGCCUGUGAGGAACUACGGGUGGUCUGAGCUCAGCAGAUCCAGUGGCCUCCAUGGGCAUCACCAAGUUAUGAUGUGGCAACAAAGAGCUGGACAGCAAGCCCAACAAAAAAGGGCCCUUUCCCAACCCCUGAGCCUCCAUGGGUCAGUCCCGGCUCCAGGAAGAGCGUCAGAAAUGCUCACUGGGCAUCUCGGAGAGCUGGAGAACCAGCUGAAUGAGGUGAGAUGAAGAAAAAGAGAGAGGAGAGGGAAUUAAUAACCUAUUCAGAACAUGGCACACUAAACGAUAUCAAACAAAGUAUGGUAGCCAUCCUGGUCUUUGUUCUAAGGACCAACAUUUGCUGGGAUGGGAGGGGGAGGAGGAGAAAAGGACAAGGAAAUAAAUAUUUCCUAAGUGCCUACUAUGUGCCAGGCGCUUUGCUGCAAGCUUUGGUAAAUAACUUCAUUUGAUCCUCACAACAACAAGCCUGUGAGGUGGGUGAGGAAAGCAGAAGUUUAGGUGAUUUGCCCAGUGUCCCAGAUUUAGUAAGUGAGGUCAAAUUUGAACUUCGGGUCAGGGCUCUGUCCAGUUCACCACUUAGCUGCUGAGGUGUAUAGAAGGUAUGGCUGAUGCCAACUUUAUCUCUGAGAGCCCUUGAGGCAGGCAGGGCUAGGGCACAUGGGUGGAGAAGGGGGAACAGUGUUGUUGGCUUACAUGGUAUCCCCUUGUAAAGGUGAGCUCUUUAAGAGAGGGGACUCAAGAUGCUCCAACAUAGCCUAGAGAUCAAAGGAGCUAGACUGGAUUGAGUGGGGAAACAACAGAAAGCUUCCUAGCAUUUGUAUUGCCCCUCACUGUUUACUGUGCACUUUUACAUCCAUUAUCUCAACUGAACCUCAAAAUAGCCACAGGAAGCAUGUAGGAAGGCAGAGCAAGGAUAAGUUUCAUCAUCUUGAAGAUGAGAAUAUAAAGAUACUAAGAGUUUCAACAGUAACACAAAUACUAAGGCUCAGAACCAGGGCCAGAACUUCUCACACUUAGGUCUGGACUCCUCACUACGCCACACUUUCCCAUUCCCUCUUGGGAUAUUUUCUCUCAUAUAUACCCUCUUAGUUAUCCUUAAUCCUUAUUGGGUCUUUCCUCAAUUAAACUUGAGACCAGUUAAAAAUCUUUGCUUAAAAAAAGAUCUCACUUGAUCCAAGGCCUUCUCCAGUCCUGAUCAAUCUCUGACCACUGGGCUCAGAUGGCUCUGGAGGAGAAAGUGAGGCUGGUGCCUUUGCACAGCCCUCACUCAAUUAAAUCCAAUUCACUUGCAUGUCAACGGCAUCACCUCCCUGAUGUUAUGGUUCUCUUCAAGAAUCAAGGACAAGACAAUAUCCUAGAAUCUCUCACCCCGCCCAUAUUAUCCCAGCACCCCUAUAGCUUUCAUCCUUUAUCCACUCUCACUUUUUUUCUUUGGGGGGAGGGGAUGGGGCAAUUGGGGUUAAGUGACUUGCCUAGGGUCACACAGCUAGGAAGCAUUAAGUGUCUGAGGCCAAAUUUGAACUCAAGUCCUCCUGACUUCAGGGCUGGUGCUCUGUCCACUGCGCCACCUCUAAGUUCUGGUAACUAGUAAGUGUCUGAGGCUCAGUUUAAACCCAGGUCCUCCUGCCUCCAAGGCCACUGCUCUAUCUCCUGCUCCAUCGAGCCGCCCCCCUCUCACUUUCUUAGCCUCUCCUUGGCUUGGUUCCAGUUUGCCAUUGCUCCACUCAGAGGUCGUUGCCUUCCUUUCCUAUCAGGAUCCUAGGGGAGUAGACUCUCUCCUUCCAAAUGAGCCAUUUGUAUCUAGAGGAUAAGAGCAGUCUUACCUCAGGCCACCUUCUCACUUUUUUCCUUCCCCCUACAAAAGACACACAGAUGUGUGUGUGUUCAUAGGCCCAAGUACACACGUGUGGAUGUACCCAUACGCAUAUGUAUUAGACACAACAGACCGACAAGCACACUGUUCCGCUUCUCCCGCUCCCUGCUCUGUCCAUCUAUCCCGCCGCCACCAGCAGAUAUUCUCACUCGUGUAAUUCCACACCGACCCCGGCUCUCCUGCUCAGUACCCCAACUUCCCUGCUACAGCACUGAUGCUUUGCCCGCAGGCAGGACUGUACUAAAGGGCCACCAGGGUUAGAGCUGGAGUCCCAGAUUUACUGUAUCCCCUUUCUUCUUUAUCUGUCCAUCUCUCAUCUUGUGUGUGCGCAUGUGCAUACACAUAUUUAUCAUAUCUAUAUAUACAUAGACAUAGUUUCUGUUUCUCUUUUGAUCUUUUUCCAAGUCAAGAUCUCUGUCUCUUAUUCUGUUUCUGUGUUUUUCUGUCUUUUGUCUUUUUUUUUCUCUUUACUGCUGUGCUGUCUUUUACCAUUUAUCUCCAUUUGUCUGUGUCUCUCUCUGUCUGUCUCUCUCUCUGUGUGUCUCUCUCUCCUUUUCUCUCUGUCUCUCCCUCCCUCCCCCUUCCUUUCUCUCUCUGUCUCUCUCCUUUUCUCUUUCUCUAUGUCUCCUUCCCUCUGUCUCUCCUCUGUCUCUUUGUCUCUUUCCCUUUCUUUUUUUUCCUUUCUUUUUCUCUUUCCCUCUCUCUGUCUCUCUCUUUCCCUUUUUUCCUCUCCUUUUCUCUUUCCCUCCCUCUUUAUCUGUCUGUCUCCAUCUCUAUGUCUGUUUCUCUCUCCCUACUUGUCUCUCUUUCCCUCUCUGUCUCUAUCUCUGUGUCUCUCUCCUAUAUCCUGUCUCUCUCUCUCUCCUUUUUCUCUUUUCUUAUCUCUCUCCCUCCCUCCUCUGCUCUUUCUCUCUCCCAUUGUGUCUCUGUCUCUCCCCCCUCCUCUCUCGUGUUUUCUUUGUCUCUGCAUCUCUCCACUCUCACUUCCUCUGCAGAUUCCUGUUAGUACAUUGAGAAUCUGAUCCAGCCCAUCCCUGGUCUCAGGGUAUAAAUAGCAGGAAAAAAAGCUGGGCUUGGAGCCAGAUUAUUUGCCAGCAUCUUUCUUGCAGUCCUAGGGCCUUGAGCAAUCAAGAUUAGGAGUAGGAAAAGCACAUAUAGAACAGAAACUUCAAGGGGCUAAGAACUAAACCUUAGACACCUGGAACUCUGAAGAGUCUGAAGAGAUCCAUGAAGGGGUUGAGAGCUAUUCCCUGACCUGAGAGGUGGAAGAGGGGGGAGGAGGAGGGGAGAACAUCUGAGGCAAUCAGGACAGAGCACAAACAAGGGCCAUGCUGCAAAUGGGGCCAAGGAGUUCCAAUACCAAGGUGAGCAGCCUCCACCCCCAAGAAGUGCAAGUACACUCUCUCUCUGAUCCAGCUCUGGAAUGCCCAGUUCUCCCAGUAACAGGAUUUGGAUGGCUAUUUGUCCCCUCCCAAUAAAGCAAAGGGGGCCCUAGGGAAUCCGUGUUUUGAGACCUUCCCAAAGGAUCCAGGAGAGAACCCCUGACCUUCUCUCCUCCACCCCCAACCAGGAACCUCGAGCCAGCUGCCAGAGCCCAGGUGGCUGCCAAAAGCAGUGGAGGGUUGGCGUAGGGGAAGCUGUGCCUUCAGGAAAGAGACUCCAUUCCCAAUAGAGUCUUACCCAAGCCAGCUCCCCAGCUUAAUUAGAUACUGGAACUGGCAUUGAUCUGUCCCUGAGCUCAUUAUGUCACAGCUGGAGAACAUCUGGCCAGUAUUUUUCCAGGCCAUUAGCUGUUUUCCGGGGUGGAGGGGGGGAGUGGGGUGUGGGAGAGCACAGGAAUCAAUAUUGUGUCUGGCUGAGCUGGUCCAGGAAAGGAGCUGCUGGGGCCGCCUCCUUCAGUACUUCUGGCUCUGCAAUCAUAGGAGCUGGAAUCCUUCAGCUCAGACACAGAAGCUCCCUUCCAUCCCUGCCAGGAGACUGGCUUCCCGUGGCCCCGAUUUAUGUUUCCUCUGAGAUUUCUCUCCAUAUAGAAGGAGAGAGGCCUGGGGUCAGUGAGUUCAUCCUGGAAUCUUCAAGCAGAAUCCUUAAGAAUCCAACUUGCUACUUCCCAACAACUUCCCAAACAGUUGUCCCUGUUGGCUAGAAGCUCUCCUUUCUCCAUGCUGGGACCAAGUCGAGUUUCUUAGUGAGUUUCAUAAGAACCGCUCAGAUCCUUGGGGGGAAAAGAUAAGUACCCAUACUUGCAGACAAGCAUUCAGCUCCUGGAGGGGAUGCUGCUGAUCGGGAGCUGUCCUGGGGCUGCAGAUCCUCAAGAACAUUACACUCCAAGGGUGGCUGAGGUUCCUUUUAUUCAAGUAGGGUUUUGUUUUUGUUUUUUAGUUCCUAUUCAGUUUUAGAGCUGGCCUGUUUCUAUAUGUCACAGAUUCCUUCUUCUUCAGGGUUUCACAUGUAAACUUCAGUUUAAUCCUAGAGAUUGUGGGAGAGACUGUAUUUUUGUAAGAACAGACUUGCUAAACUUUACCUCUGUCCUAGCCCUGCCCGAGUCUCCCUUAGUGGUGUCACAAACAACAAUUCCCCAAAAGUCCUGGAUCCUCCAACUUUGCCCAUCCUGCCAAGCAAGUCAUUAACUCUACCACCAUCACUCCUCUCCUCCCCCAUCCCCAGAUGCUACAAGAACUUUACAUAAUAAUUUUAACUCAGAAUAGCAAUCUGCCC
ensembl:lncRNA